rnacentral:rRNA from 1 species
UAGGGAAUCUUCGGCAAUGGGGGCAACCCUGACCGAGCAACGCCGCGUGAGUGAAGAAGGUUUUCGGAUCGUAAAGCUCUGUUGUAAGAGAAGAACGUGUGUGAGAGUGGAAAGUUCACACAGUGACGGUAACUUACCAGAAAGGGACGGCUAACUACGUGCCAGCAGCCGCGGUAAUACGUAGGUCCCGAGCGUUGUCCGGAUUUAUUGGGCGUAAAGCGAGCGCAGGCGGUUUAAUAAGUCUGAAGUUAAAGGCAGUGGCUUAACCAUUGUUCGCUUUGGAGUCUGUUAAACUUGGGUGCAGAAGGUGAGAGUGGAAUUCCAUGUGUAGCGGUGAAGUGCGUAGAUAUAUGGAGGAACACCGGUGGCGAAAGCGGCUCUCUGGUCUGUAACUGACGCUGAGGCUCGAAAGCGUGGGGAGCAAACAGG